GAUGAACGCUAGCGGCAGGCUUAAUACAUGCAAGUCGAGGGGCAGCGCGGGUAGCAAUACCUGGCGGCGACCGGCAAACGGGUGCGGAACACGUACGCAACCUUCCCAUAACUGGUGAAUAGCCCUCCGAAAGGAGGAUUAAUACACCGUAACAUAACGAAGAGGCAUCUUUUUGUUAUUAUAGUAGCAAUACGGUUUUGGAUGGGCGUGCGCCUGAUUAGGUAGUUGGCGGGGUAACGGCCCACCAAGCCUGCGAUCAGUAACUGGCGUGAGAGCACGACCAGUCAAACGGGCACUGAGACACGGGCCCGACUCCUACGGGAGGCAGCAGUAAGGAAUAUUGGUCAAUGGACGAAAGUCUGAACCAGCCAUGCCGCGUGAAGGAUUAAGGCCCUCUGGGUUGUAAACUUCUUUUAUCUGGGACGAAGAAAGGGCAUUCUUGCUCACUUGACGGUACCAGAGGAAUAAGCACCGGCUAACUCCGUGCCAGCCGCCGCCGUAA
rnacentral:rRNA from 1 species